rnacentral:rRNA from 1 species
AGUUUGAUUAUGGCUCAGGAUGAACGCUAGCUACAGGCUUAACACAUGCAAGUCGAGGGGCAGCAUGGUCUUAGCUUGCUAAGACUGAUGGCGACCGGCGCACGGGUGAGUAACACGUAUCCAACCUGCCGUCUACUCUUGGACAGCCUUCUGAAAGGAAGAUUAAUACAAGAUGGCAUCAUGAGUCCACAUGUUCACAUGAUUAAAGGUAUUCCGGUAGACGAUGGGGAUGCGUUCCAUUAGAUAGUAGGCGGGGUAACGGCCCACCUAGUCUUCGAUGGAUAGGGGUUCUGAGAGGAAGGUCCCCCACAUUGGAACUGAGACACGGUCCAAACUCCUACGGGAGGCAGCAGUGAGGAAUAUUGGUCAAUGGGCGAGAGCCUGAACCAGCCAAGUAGCGUGAAGGAUGACUGCCCUAUGGGUUGUAAACUUCUUUUAUAAAGGAAUAAAGUCGGGUAUGCAUACCCGUUUGCAUGUACUUUAUGAAUAAGGAUCGGCUAACUCCGUGCCAGCAGCCGCGGUAAUACGGAGGAUCCGAGCGUUAUCCGGAUUUAUUGGGUUUAAAGGGAGCGUAGAUGGAUGUUUAAGUCAGUUGUGAAAGUUUGCGGCUCAACCGUAAAAUUGCAGUUGAUACUGGAUAUCUUGAGUGCAGUUGAGGCAGGCGGAAUUCGUGGUGUAGCGGUGAAAUGCUUAGAUAUCACGAAGAACUCCGAUUGCGAAGGCAGCCUGCUAAGCUGCAACUGACAUUGAGGCUCGAAAGUGUGGGUAUCAAACAGGAUUAGAUACCCUGGUAGUCCACACGGUAAACGAUGAAUACUCGCUGUUUGCGAUAUACAGCAAGCGGCCAAGCGAAAGCGUUAAGUAUUCCACCUGGGGAGUACGCCGGCAACGGUGAAACUCAAAGGAAUUGACGGGGGCCCGCACAAGCGGAGGAACAUGUGGUUUAAUUCGAUGAUACGCGAGGAACCUUACCCGGGCUUAAAUUGCAGAUGAAUUACGGUGAAAGCCGUAAGCCGCAAGGCAUCUGUGAAGGUGCUGCAUGGUUGUCGUCAGCUCGUGCCGUGAGGUGUCGGCUUAAGUGCCAUAACGAGCGCAACCCUUGUUGUCAGUUACUAACAGGUUCUGCUGAGGACUCUGACAAGACUGCCAUCGUAAGAUGUGAGGAAGGUGGGGAUGACGUCAAAUCAGCACGGCCCUUACGUCCGGGGCUACACACGUGUUACAAUGGGGGGUACAGAGGGCCGCUACCACGCGAGUGGAUGCCAAUCCCAAAAACCUCUCUCAGUUCGGACUGGAGUCUGCAACCCGACUCCACGAAGCUGGAUUCGCUAGUAAUCGCGCAUCAGCCACGGCGCGGUGAAUACGUUCCCGGGCCUUGUACACACCGCCCGUCAAGCCAUGGGAGCCGGGGGUACCUGAAGUGCGUAACCGCGAGGAGCGCCCUAGGGUAAAACUGGUGACUGGGGCUAAGUCGUAACAAGGUAACC